GCCAGACUCCUACGGGAGGCAGCAGUGGGGAAUAUUGCACAAUGGGGGAAACCCUGAUGCAGCGACGCCGCGUGAAGGAAGAAGUAUUUCGGUAUGUAAACUUCUAUCAGCAGGGAAGAAAAUGACGGUACCUGACUAAGAAGCCCCGGCUAACUACGUGCCAGCAGCCGCGGUAAUACGUAGGGGGCAAGCGUUAUCCGGAUUUACUGGGUGUAAAGGGAGCGUAGACGGCAUGGCAAGUCUGGUGUGAAAACUACGGGCUUAACCUGUAGACUGCAGUUGAAACUGGCUUUCUUGAGUGAAGUAGAGGUUGGCGGAAUUCCGAGUGUAGCGGUGAAAUGCGUAGAUAUUCGGAGGAACACCGGUGGCGAAGGCGGCUUACUGGACUGUAACUGACGUUGAGGCUCGAAAGCGUGGGGAGCAAACAGGAUUAGAUACCCGUGUA
rnacentral:rRNA from 1 species